AUGCGUCACCCCGGCCUUGGGCGGGGGCGGGGCUCCGAGGAGCUCGGUUCAGAUCCCGGCCGCCUGGGCUCCGGGAGCCCCGGAACCAGGAUAAGUUGGAUGGCUGCCGCGGCGAAGCGGGGGGCGGGGUGGACCGUGCCCGGUAUUUUCUAUACGGGUUCCGGGGCCCCGUAGAGGCGCGCCAAGAGAAGAGGGAAGUGCGGCGGCCCUGGAACCUGGAUAUCGCGCGAGAUUUGUGACCCAGAAGGAAAUCUCUGACCUCAGCUGUGGCUCUUGGUGCUGGCCAGAAGCCAACUUCAUGUCUGAGUGCACGAGCAGCAGUUUGCUAUGGAGAGCUUGGGGCUGCAGACGGUGACCCUUAGUGAUGGGACAACAGCCUACGUCCAGCAAGCUGUCAAAGGAGAGAAGCUUCUUGAAGGGCAGGUGAUCCAGCUCGAGGAUGGGACCACCGCAUACAUUCACCAGGUGACAGUACAGAAAGAAGCUCUCUCCUUUGAGGAUGGUCAGCCUGUGCAGCUGGAAGAUGGCAGCAUGGCUUACAUACACCGCACACCCAGAGAAGGCUAUGACCCCAGCGCCCUGGAAGCCGUCCAGCUGGAAGAUGGCUCCACUGCCUACAUUCACCACCCUGUGGCUGUGCCAUCAGACAGCACCAUCCUGGCCGUACAGACAGAGGUGGGCUUGGAGGACCUGGCAGCAGAGGAUGAUGAGGGCUUCAGUGCAGACACAGUGGUGGCCCUGGAGCAGUAUGCCAGCAAGGUUCUUCAUGACAGCCAGAUUCCCCAUAAUGGAAAAGGGCAGCAAGUUGGAGACAGAGCAUUCCGCUGUGGCUACAAGGGCUGUGGGCGUCUCUACACCACCGCUCAUCACUUAAAGGUGCAUGAACGAGCUCAUACAGGUGACCGUCCAUACAGAUGUGACUUCCCCAGCUGUGGAAAGGCCUUUGCCACAGGCUAUGGACUGAAGAGCCACGUUCGUACCCACACUGGUGAGAAACCAUACAAGUGCCCAGAGGAGCUGUGCAGCAAGGCCUUCAAGACCUCAGGAGACCUGCAGAAGCAUGUCCGUACCCACACUGGUGAACGCCCGUUCCGGUGCCCUUUUGAGGGCUGUGGCCGUUCCUUCACCACGUCUAACAUCCGCAAGGUACAUGUGCGCACCCACACAGGCGAGAGGCCCUACACCUGCCCGGAGCCCCACUGUGGCCGCGGCUUCACCAGCGCCACCAACUAUAAGAAUCACGUGCGCAUCCACACAGGUGGGCUAGCUGGCAUGCGAGGACUACCCUCACUCAGGCCCCAACCCCUCUACUGUAGGCUUCCCAUCUAAGACACAUUCCCAACUCCCAGCCCAGAACCCCUCUGUGCCAGCCAUUCCAGGCUGGUCUGGGGGUAGGGUACCCCAGAGCAACUCCUCUUGAAGUGAGCAGUUCCUCCAUUUCCAGUUAGGUCCAAUCUGAAAGGUAUUGCCAGUCCUCUCUGGGGUCCCUCAGCUCCCUACCACCCCUCUACACCCACCCUGAAUUCUCCAACUCUGACUGAACUCCUGAAAAGAGGCCAGGGUCAGGAAUGAUGGGGAAGAAGCAGAGUGAACUGUCACCUUCAACUCCUCACCUUAUCCGCCGUCCAUGACUCCUGUGUAUCCUCACCCUCCC
rnacentral:sRNA from 1 species